GACAGAGGUGCCAAGCGUUAGGCGGAAUCACUGGGCUUAAAGCGUGUGUAGGCGGGUCGUUAAGUACCUUGUGAAAUCCCACGGCUCAACCGUGGAACUGCUCGGUAUACUGGCGAUCUUGAGCCACUUAGGGGCUACCGGAACAAAUGGUGGAGCGGUGAAAUGCGUAGAUAUCGGGAGGAACACCAGAGGCGAAGGCGGAUCGCUGGGCCAACACUGACGCUGAGACGCGAAAGCUAGGGUAGCAAACGGG
rnacentral:rRNA from 1 species